rnacentral:misc_RNA from 1 species
UUUUUUUUUUUAUUAGAAUUGGAAUCAAAUGUUUGAUUUUAAUUUUUAAUUUUAAUUUUGAUUUUAUUUCAAAGGCUUGUGUUAUCAUAUCAUUAACAUUUAAGAAGAAAAUUACUAAACGGUGUCAAUAUAUACUGACAUGGUAAGUCUCUUUGCACUCUUAAAUUAAUAUAGCAAGUGGAACCCAAAUAUUUAACUAUAUAUAAUUAUGUCAUUCAUCUAGUGCCAAGUUAGGAAGAAUAAAAGAAAACAAAAUAUAUUGACACUUACCCUCUAUUGUGAGACAAAUCAGUAGGUAAAUCAGUAUAUACAACAAAAUAAAUGAGGUCUCACUUACCAUGCCAAUUUAAGAGCACGAAGAGAAUUGUCAUGUUAAAAUAUAUUGAUGCUCUUUAACAAUUUUGUUUUUAAGUGUUAACCGUGUAAUAAGACAAACUGUUAAGUUAAAAAAUAAUAAUUAUUAUAAUAAUUCAAAUCCUUAUUAAUAAAAUGUGCUAAUCACAUGACAUUAAAAUGUACUUUUUCCUUAUAAAUAUUUAACAUGGAAAAACCAACAAAAAAUAGUACUAAUAUCGAAAUGAAAUAUCAACAAAGUAGCAUAAAGAAUAAAGUUUUAUUCAAGAAAUAUAUUUAAAUUAAACUAAUAAUUCUCACAUAAAAAAUAUAAAUCAGCAUCAAACAUCCAUAAUAUAAUAUUUCCAUCCCGAACAUAAAACAACAGCAAAUCAACAAGCACAACAAAUAAAGUUAAGCUUCAUUGUCACAUUUUCCACUAUAAAUAAGUCAUGUCAACAUCCAAGUUCCAAGCUUUCUUCUGAUAUGACAGCACCUUCAUUUUUAAACAAUUAAUUUCAUUACAUGAGAGAAAAUAAAUUAAAAUAAAAUUAUUAUUAAAAUAUCAAUAAAAAUAAUAAUACUAACGUCUAAAUAACAAUAUAUAUAUAUAUAUCAAAUUGGUUUUUAAUUUGAUCUUGAUUUGGUUUCGAUACGAUCUUGAUUUGAUUCUUAAUGAAUAACUAAAAUCAAAUAAAAACAGUAAAAUAAAUUCGGUUUAUCUCUUAUAUUAAUGAUUUUUUUUCUAUUCGGUUCAAUUUGAUUCGAUUUUUUAAUUUCAUUCAGGAUAAAAAAAAUCAUACACACUGUUAUAUAUAUAAUUGAUAGAUUUUGACCGUUAAUUAUGAUAAUACCAACAUGAGACUCAUCAUAAUAAUGAUUAUAACAAAACAAUUAUAUAUAAUGAUUGUGCUUUAUAAUUUCUCCCGUUCCCCUCUUCUUCUCCCAUUAAAUUAUCUUGCUCUCUCCUGUGCAUAAUAUAUCCAUACAAAGUGUAAUGCAUGUAGUAAAUGGGUAAAAAUGUUGAUAAUAAUAAACAAAUAUCAAAUCAAAAGAAGAGAAGAAAAUUAUGUAUAUUUUAGUUACCGAAUGAUCAUUCUUCAAGGACUGCAAAUAGUCAUAACUCCAUAUGUUAGGCUGAAAGUUGGCCGACCUUCUAGACUCCGUUAAACUGGAAUUUUCGUUGGCCACCGAGCAACGUACUUGCAGAGUCAUGGGAGUGCCAUGGAGACGGAGAUGAAAGGCUCUUUGCAAGGGAAAUCUGUAUAGUUUUUGUGUUGAUGAUGAGAAUGGACGUGGCAAGCACAGCAGUUCAGUCGCCAUGAAUAGCCACACCAACAACAGA